GAGUUUGAUCUUGGCUCAGAAUCAACGCUGGCGGCGUGCCCCAGACAUGCAAGUCGAACGCGAAAGGUUCCUUCGGGAACCGAGUAGAGUGGCGCACGGGUGAGUAACACGUAGGUAAUUUGCCUUUGGGUGGGGAAUAACUCAGGGAAACUUGAGCUAAUACCGCAUAAUGCAGCGGCUCGACAUCGAGACAGUUGUUAAAGCGGGGGAUCGCAAGACCUCGCGCCUAAAGAGAAGCCUGCGGCAGAUUAGCUAGUUGGUAGGGUAAUGGCCUACCAAGGCAACGAUCUGUAACCGGCCUGAGAGGGCGGUCGGUCACACUGACACUGACAUACGGGUCAGACUCCUACGGGAGGCAGCAGUCGGGAAUUUUGGGCAAUGGGCGAAAGCCUGACCCAGCAACGCCGCGUGAAGGAUGAAAUCCCUCGGGAUGUAAACUUCGCAAGAACAGGAAGAAUAAGUAGAAGCUAAAUGCCUUCUAUGAUGACGGUACUGUUUGUAAGCUCCGGCUAACUCCGUGCCAGCCGCCGACGG
rnacentral:rRNA from 1 species